rnacentral:lncRNA from 1 species
UCUAGUAUGAGACCCUUGGACUUGUUAGUGAAGGUUGGAACACUUCACCUUCUCUGAUUCAUGACAUAUGAACAUUUGGAGUUCAGGGUUGCAUUUUCUGCAAUACUUAUACAUGACUGCCUGCUGAUACUAAAACAAUCGCAUGCAAUUGUAUCCUAAAGGCAUGCAAAUGGAACAUUAUUGUCUGUUAAGUAAUCUAAACUAAAGAUACAAUGUCAGUUGAUAACAUUUAUAUAUAGGAGGAAGUGAUAUCAGAUGAGUGUGAAUGAGAAGAAUCUUGGUGGUGCUAUUACAUUCUUGGAGCA